rnacentral:rRNA from 1 species
AUUGAACGCUGGCGGCAUGCCUUACACAUGCAAGUCGAACGGCAGCGGGGGAGAAGCUUGCUUUUCCUGCCGGCGAGUGGCGAACGGGUGAGUAAUACAUCGGAACGUGCCCUGUAGUGGGGGAUAACUAGUCGAAAGAUUAGCUAAUACCGCAUACGACCUGAGGGUGAGAGUGGGGGACCGCAAGGCCUCAUGCUAUAGGAGCGGCCGAUGUCUGAUUGGCUAGUGGGUGGGGUAAAGGCCUACCAAGGCGACGAUCAGUAGCUGGUCUGGGAGGACGAUCAGCCACCCUGGGACUGAGACACGGCCCAAACUCCUACGGGAGGAAGCCGUGGGGAAUUUUGAGCAAUGAGCGAAUGCCUGAUCCAGCAAUGCCGCGUGUGUGAAGAAGGCCUUCGGGUUGUAAAGCACUUUUGUCCGGAGAGAAAUGGCUCUGGUUAAUACCUGGGGUCGAUGACGGUACCGGAAGAAUAAGGACCGGCUAACUACGUGCCAGCAGCCGCGGUAA